UACGAAGGGGGCUAGCGUUGUUCGGAAUUACUGGGCGUAAAGCGCGUGUAGGCGGGUCUUUAAGUCAGAGGUGAAAUGCCAAGGCUCAACCUUGGAACUGCCUUUGAUACUGGAGAUCUUGAGUCCGGGAGAGGUGAGUGGAAUUGCGAGUGUAGAGGUGAAAUUCGUAGAUAUUCGCAAGAACACCAGUGGCGAAGGCGGCUCACUGGCCCGGAACUGACGCUGAGACGCGAAAGCGUGGGGAGCAAACAGGG
rnacentral:rRNA from 1 species